rnacentral:rRNA from 1 species
GAUGAACGCUGGCGGCGUGCCUAAUACAUGCAAGUCGAGCGAACAGACGAGGAGCUUGCUCCUCUGACGAUAGCGGCGGACGGGUGAGUAACACGUGGAUAACCUACCUAUAAGACUGGGAUAACUUCGGGAAACCGGAGCUAAUACCGGAUAAUAUAUUGAACCGCAUGGUUCAAUAGUGAAAGACGGUUUUGCUGUCACUUAUAGAUGGAUCCGCGCCGCAUUAGCUAGUUGGUAAGGUAACGGCUUACCAAGGCAACGAUGCGUAGCCGACCUGAGAGGGUGAUCGGCCACACUGGAACUGAGACACGGUCCAGACUCCUACGGGAGGCAGCAGUAGGGAAUCUUCCGCAAUGGGCGAAAGCUUGACGGAGCAACGCCGCGUGAGUGAUGAAGGUCUUCGGAUCGUAAAACUCUGUUAUUAGGGAAGAACAAAUGUGUAAGUAACUAUGCACGUCUUGACGGUACCUAAUCAGAAAGCCACGGCUAACUACGUG